rnacentral:rRNA from 1 species
CCAGACUCCUACGGGAGGCAGCAGUGGGGAAUAUUGCACAAUGGGGGAAACCCUGAUGCAGCGACGCCGCGUGAGUGAAGAAGUAAUUCGUUACGUAAAGCUCUAUCAGCAGGGAAGAGAAUGACGGUACCUGAGUAAGAAGCCCCGGCUAACUACGUGCCAGCAGCCGCGGUAAUACGUAGGGGGCAAGCGUUAUCCGGAUUUACUGGGUGUAAAGGGGGCGCAGACGGCAGCGCAAGCCAGGAGUGAAAGCCCGGGGCCCAACCCCGGGACUGCUCUUGGAACUGCGCGGCUGGAGUGCAGGAGGGGCAGGCGGAAUUCCUGGUGUAGCGGUGAAAUGCAUAGAUAUUAGGAGGAACACCAGUGGCGAAGGCGGUCUGCUGGACAGCAACUGACGCUGAGGCGCGAAAGCGUGGGGAGCAAACAGGAUUAGAUACCCUCGUAA